CCAAAAUGGGCUUCGAUGUGAACGGCGCGAUGAUUAACCGGGCUCUAUAUGUUCUUAUCGGGAUCACGGCCAUCGGAGUUCUGUAUUUCUUAGUGAGAGCGGUCCGUCUGAAAAAAAAGGGUGUUCAGAGGAAGAAAUAUGGGCUCCUUUCAAACUAUGACGACACAAUGGAGAUGGCCCACCUGGAAAGCGAUGAGGAUGACAACACUGUUUAUGAAGCCAAAUCUUUGAGAAGAUGAAUCUCUGUAGAUGUUUGACACUGCCAGAAAGAGAAUGUAAUGAAGACAAUCCCAUUAUCUACCAAAAUGACUGUUGAAUGAUUUUGUUGUCGUUUUCAACCAUGAGAGGAUCUAGUCACGAAGCUUGGAUGAUUUUGUUCCAAGAAUGGAAGGUGUAGUUUUAAACUAGAUCACUGCAUUUUGGACUGAUAUGACCAAAUAGAUCUUCUUGGAAAUUUCUUGGAAGGUCAUACUUUUUUUUUUUUUUUUUUUUUGGUGUGGAAAGAAAGUUGUCAAGAGGAUCAAAACUGUGUUUUGUGCCAAAGUUACUUAUGCAUCAUUUUUAGGGGUUUGAAACUCUUGACUGAGUCAAUACAUGUUAAUUAAUAUUGUAAAAAAUAAAAAAUUCCCUUCAUUUCCGAUUUACAGACACUGACAGUCCUGAAAGUUGUUGGCUAAUUUAUGAGACCGUUAUAUUGUUUGGCUCUAUGUGAAUUUAUUGUUUUAGGUGUGCCAUCAUAUUAUGAUAGAUAUUCUGAUGAGAUAUAUAUAUAUAUAUAUAUAUAUUUUUUUUUUUUUUUAAUUUCUUUCUUUCUUUCUUUCUUUUCUUCCUUCCUUCCUUCCUUCCUUCCUAUACUGGGACUAUACUGGGUAUUAAUUUCAGAUGUAAAUUCUGAAAUGUCAUAAAUUCAUGAAUUUCAUGUGUAUGAAUUUGCCAAAUACCAGCAUAUGUAAGAGAUGCACUUUGAAUUUUAGAGUUUAGAAACUAAAACAGCAAAACAGCCAGUCAUGAUAUUUAAUGCCAUGACGACACCCUGACCACUUCGUCAUUGUACCAUUACAAGGUUGGUUUGAUUUUUAGAGAUUAAACAUUUCCACACGAUUUUGGUUCCAAACGUAGAUGUGCUUCAUGCUCAGUUCUAUGUUCAAAGUCAUUGUUAACUAAGGUUUCGUCAGACUCGACUCAUGCUUUUUUUUUUUUUCAAUGGGUGUUGUUUUGCAUUAUGUAAAGAUGACAAAUGAUUGUGCUGACAGCAAGCCGUCUUGAGGUAUAUGGAUUAAACCACAACAUUCUCAAAUUACCAAUUUGAAAUUUUAAGGUGUGUAAAUGAGGGCGUUGAUGACAUUGUUAUAAAUUUAUUUAUCAAUGCUGUCCAAAACUGUCAAAUUUAAAUGCAUGAAGUAUUACUGUAUUAAUAUUUAAUGUACAUAAUUCCAAUGAUUCCUGAAGUGUGCCUUUCAUUCAUCCUUUUUGUAAUUGCAUUUGAUUGGAUGUGUUUUUGGCUUUUUUGUAAUUAAAUUCUAUUCUCUA